CCUACGGGGCGCAGCAGCCGCGGUAAUACGGAGGAUCCGAGCGUUAUCCGGAUUUAUUGGGUUUAAAGGGAGCGUAGGUGGAUUGUUAAGUCAGUUGUGAAAGUUUGCGGCUCAACCGUAAAAUUGCAGUUGAAACUGGCAGUCUUGAGUACAGUAGAGGUGGGCGGAAUUCGUGGUGUAGCGGUGAAAUGCUUAGAUAUCACGAAGAACUCCGAUUGCGAAGGCAGUUCACUGGACUGCAACUGACACUGAGGCUCGAAAGUGUGGGUAUCAAACAGGAUUAGAUACCCGGGUAGUCCCAAUAG
rnacentral:rRNA from 1 species